UACGUAGGGGGCAAGCGUUGUCCGGAAUCAUUGGGCGUAAAGAGCGUGUAGGCGGCUCGAUAAGUCUGCUGUGAAAGUCCAGGGCUCAACCCCCGGAACUGCCUUUUGAUACUGGCAUUCUCGAGUCCGGAAGAGGUGAGUGGAAUUCCGAGUGUAGAGGUGAAAUUCGUAGAUAUUCGGAGGAACACCAGUGGCGAAGGCGGCUCACUGGUCCGGUACUGACGCUGAGGUGCGAAAAGCGUGGGGGAGCAAACAGG
rnacentral:rRNA from 1 species